rnacentral:rRNA from 1 species
AUUGAACGCUGGCGGCAUGCUUUACACAUGCAAGUCGAACGGUAACAGGCCGCAAGGUGCUGACGAGUGGCGAACGGGUGAGUAAUGCAUCGGAACGUGCCCAGUCGUGGGGGAUAACGCAGCGAAAGCUGCGCUAAUACCGCAUACGAUCUAUGGAUGAAAGCGGGGGACCGUAAGGCCUCGCGCGAUUGGAGCGGCCGAUGUCAGAUUAGGUAGUUGGGGGGGUAAAGGCUCACCAAGCCAACGAUCUGUAGCUGGUCUGAGAGGACGACCAGCCACACUGGGACUGAGACACGGCCCAGACUCCUACGGGAGGCAGCAGUGGGGAAUUUUGGACAAUGGGCGCAAGCCUGAUCCAGCAAUGCCGCGUGCAGGAAGAAGGCCUUCGGGUUGUAAACCGCUUUUGUCGGGGAAGAAACGGUCUGCGCUAAUACCGCGGGCUAAUGACGGUACCCGAAGAAUAAGCACCGGCUAACUACGUGCCAGCAGCCGCCGUAAGAC